rnacentral:rRNA from 1 species
GACGUAGGGCGCGAGCGUUGUCCGGAUUUAUUGGGCGUAAAGAGCUCGUAGGCGGCUUGUCGCGUCGUCCGUGAAAACCUGCGGCUCAACUGCAGGCUGGCGGUCGAUACGGGCAGGCUGGAGUUCGGUAGGGGAGACUGGAAUUCCUGGUGUAGCGGUGAAAUGCGCAGAUAUCAGGAGGAACACCGGUGGCGAAGGCGGGUCUCUGGGCCGAUACUGACGCUGAGGAGCGAAAAGCGUGGGGAGCGAACAGG